rnacentral:rRNA from 1 species
UACAGAGGGUGCGAGCGUUGUCCGGAAUCACUGGGCGUAAAGGGCGCGUAGGCGGCCUGGUAAGUAGGGGGUGAAAUCUUGCGGCUCAACUGCAAGGCUGCCUCCUAAACUGCCGGGCUGGAGCACGGUAGAGGCAGAUGGAAUUCCCGGUGUAGCGGUGGAAUGCGUAGAGAUCGGGAAGAACAUCGGUGGCGAAGGCGGUCUGCUGGGCCGUUGCUGACGCUGAGGCGCGACAGCGUGGGAGCAAACAGG